UACAGAGGUCUCAAGCGUUGUUCGGAUUCAUUGGGCGUAAAGGGUGCGUAGGUGGCGCCGUAAGUCAGGUGUGAAAUCUCGGGGCUCAACCCCCGAAACUGCACUUGAUACUGCGGUGCUUGAGUACUGGAGAGGAGAUUGGAAUUUACGGUGAGCAGUGAAAUGCGUAGAUAUCGUAAGGAAGACCAGUGGCGAAGGCGAAUCUCUGGACAGUUACUGACACUGAGGCACGAAGCCAGGGGAGCAAACGGG
rnacentral:rRNA from 1 species